rnacentral:rRNA from 1 species
AUGNAAGUCGAGCGGAAGAAGGGAGCUUGCUCCCGGAUGUUAGCGGCGGACGGGUGAGUAACACGUGGGUAACCUGCCUGUAAGACUGGGAUAACUCCGGGAAACCGGAGCUAAUACCGGAUAGUUCCUUGAACCGCAUGGUUCAAGGAUGAAAGACGGUUUCGGCUGUCACUUACAGAUGGACCCGCGGCGCAUUAGCUAGUUGGUGAGGUAACGGCUCACCAAGGCGACGAUGCGUAGCCGACCUGAGAGGGUGAUCGGCCACACUGGGACUGAGACACGGCCCAGACUCCUACGGGAGGCAGCAGUAGGGAAUCUUCCGCAAUGGACGAAAGUCUGACGGAGCAACGCCGCGUGAGUGAUGAAGGUUUUCGGAUCGUAAAGCUCUGUUGUUAGGGAAGAACAAGUGCAAGAGUAACUGCUUGCACCUUGACGGUACCUAACCAGAAAGCCACGGCUAACUACGUGCCAGCAGCCGCGGUAAUACGUAGGUGGCAAGCGUUGUCCGGAAUUAUUGGGCGUAAAGGGCUCGCAGGCGGUUUCUUAAGUCUGAUGUGAAAGCCCCCGGCUCAACCGGGGAGGGUCAUUGGAAACUGGGAAACUUGAGUGCAGAAGAGGAGAGUGGAAUUCCACGUGUAGCGGUGAAAUGCGUAGAGAUGUGGAGGAACACCAGUGGCGAAGGCGACUCUCUGGUCUGUAACUGACGCUGAGGAGCGAAAGCGUGGGGAGCGAACAGGAUUAGAUACCCUGGUAGUCCACGCCGUAAACGAUGAGUGCUAAGUGUUAGGGGGUUUCCGCCCCUUAGUGCUGCAGCUAACGCAUUAAGCACUCCGCCCUGGGGAGUACGGUCGCAAGACUGAAACUCNAAAGGAAUUGGACGGGGGCACGCACCAAUCGGUGGAAGAAUGUGGUUUAAUUU